CUCAUUGGGUAAUGGGUACCCA
rnacentral:siRNA from 1 species